GUCGAGACAAAAUAUUGUUUGGGGACAACGGAGUCGAACGACUCGCCAUUUGACCGGAAAUCCGUUUAGCACCUUUGAGUUCUCGCGCGUUGUGAAUCGCGUGACGUGUACAGAUCAGCUGCGCAACUGUCUGACCGACGUGGAAAUUACACCUGACGAAUUUCACCCUAUCGUUUCUGCUGUGUUGUGCACUUUCUGUCUGUUGGAGUAGAGGCAAGAUUACCAGACGUCCCGUCGUUGGAAACGCGUGACUCACGCGCGCGUAAAUUAGAUCGGGGACAACUUCAGAGGGAAUGGUCUUCCUUCGUUUUGAGAAAUACGUUCAACCGCCUUCCUGGAUGCAAUUCCAACGUGGACAAGUACUGUUCUGUCAAAGAUGGAGCUCAACAUGGCCACAUUUGCUGCUGUCCAAGAGAAUCAAAAGAGUCUGUGGAGCUCAAUUUAGAUUGCCCAUGUCAGUUGUGCUGUUUUGUCUCCCUCAAACUGUAUUGAUAACAAAACUGCACAUUUUCAAGUGAAAAAUACAAUGAAUGCUUUCCUGGUACAUCAAAGUGUAUUGAUACGAAUACUGUGGUCCAAGUUGACUCUGGGAAGCAUCUUUUUCAUAUUCAACUUGUGUUGUCUAUUAUAUUCCUGAAAAGUGGACUUAAUUACAAGAUUUUUCUCCCCCAUUUAUUUUGUAAUCUGUCAGCUGCUGAGGUUUGAAAACACCUUACAUCUUUCCUAAAAAUACAUUAUUUACAGUUGAAAUGUAAACAUGAUAAAAAUCAUUAGUUUGAAACAAAUCUGUAAAAUCUUGGCAAUCACUAAGCUCAGAGACCAACAUUAAAAGGAGUA